rnacentral:rRNA from 1 species
AACGAACGCUGGCGGCAGGCCUAACACAUGCAAGUCGAGCGCCCUUUCGGGGGAUCGGCGGACGGGUGAGUAACGCGUGGGAAUAUGCCCUUCUCUACGGAAUAGCCUCGGGAAACUGAGAGUAAUACCGUAUACGCCCUUUGGGGGAAAGAUUUAUCGGGGUAGGAUUAGCCCGCGUUGGAUUUGGUAGUUGGUGGGGUAAUGGCCUACCAAGCCGACGAUCCAUAGCUGGGUUGAUAAGAGGAUCAGCCACACUGGGGCUGAGACACGGACCAGACUCCUACGGGAGGGAGGAGUGGGGAAUAUUAGACAAGGGAGGCAAAUCUGAUCUAGCCAUGCCGCGUGAGUGAUGAAGGGGGUAGGGUUGUAAAGCUGUUUCAGCUGGGAAGAUAAUGACGGUACCAGCAGAAGAAGCCCCGGCUAACUACGUG